UCGUCCGCAGUGUUUUGCAUCAAGGGCAAGCAAACCCGCUCCCUGGCAAGGCUGGCUCUGAAUUCCAAACUUGCCGUCGUUCUCCCAGCUGUUUCCACCGCCGCUGCCACGCGUCUGGUCGCAGCAUCCCUGGCCCUCUUGGACCACUGUCCGUAGCCUCUCGCUGGGCUUCCUGCAGGGCUAGCGGGAGAUGGGAGGAUUUCAAUCUAUCCCGCCCACAAGCUUCCCACCUACUUUUCUCUUAUGCUAUGUCACCCUGCUUUAAACCUCACACUGGCUCCCCAGCCCCAUAAGAGAGUUCCAUAAGAGAGCAUUAAGGUGCUCCUAACCAAGCCCCAGCUUAACCCUUUCCAGAUCCACCCCCUACUUGCACCAGAGACCUAGUUUCUCUGAACACCUUGCCCUUCCAGGAACAGCCAUCACUUGCAUACUCAGUGACUACUCUUGUUGUGUCUUCUGCCUAGGGUGCCCUUUGUGAAGUCAACAAAUUCAUAAACUCAACUUUAUCAUAAUAAUGCAAUGGAGAGUGAAAACUGGCACUGAAAUGCCUCUUAGCAAAGGUCACGGAGUUGAAAGCCUACAGGUGUCAAGCAGGAGAAAUAAAUAAGGGAGAAGAUAGCUUUCCUUGAGAAAAUACUCUGAAAAACUGUUUAAGGUGAAGGUGCAUCUUGAAGCAGCUCUGAGAAGGCAGCUGUUGUGGAAGCAGCAAAGAAGAGGACUUGGUUUAGAUCUCUUAAGAUCAAAACUGAAACCCAGAGGUCACAGAGUUGAAGUUGGGACUUGGACCCAUCUUGUCUGGUUCUGGAGCCAUGAUGCCAGUGAGUGAAGAGGGCCAUGGUCGCCUGGGAAGUUUGCACACUAGUGGAGUGGACUGACCUCAAAGAGGUAGUCAAGAGUGUGAAGCUAGAUUCGAGUCUCCACUCCCAGCUUGUGCUUGUGCUGUCUCCUCUACCUGGAACUCCUUUUCCACCCACCUAUCCAAAUCCUACCUCUUCAUGGCCCCGUUAAAAGCCUGAGCCCUACAGUACAUUAUAACACCUAGCAGCACUGAAUUGCAUAUGGGACUGUCUUCCCACUAGAUUUCUGUGAGCUCCUCGCAAAAACUGCACUUUAACUUUCUAUCUUUGGAAUUUGACAGUGAACUUCCCAUGGUUGCCAUGGUGACUUCUUCCUCUGGGGGUUGGAGGGACAUCAUAGGUACAUAAUGUUCAGUCCUCAGAGAUUUACUUGGUCUAAUCCUCUCAUUUUAUAGGAGAAACUGAGGCCCAUAGAGGUUGGGACUUGCUCAAGGAAGCAGCUGAGUCUAGAACGUAGGAGACUAGACUACAAAAAUAAUGUGGCUGGAAGAAAAUUGUUAGCUCUGGAGCCAGACCGAGCUCAAAUUCCAGCUUUUCUGUUCCCUGGCUGUGUGACCUGGGCAAGUUGCUGAACCUCUCUGAGCUUCAUUUCCCUCAUUUGUGUGGUGGGAUUAUAAUGGAGCCUACAUCCCAGGGCUGCUGUGAGAAAUGAAUGAGUUAGUCCUGAAAAAGCUCCCAGCAUAGAACCUGGAAUGUGAUAGCUCUGCAGAAAUAGAGGGCUUUUGUCAUCAGAAUUAUGACCUGUGAGACAUGGCGAUGCCAGCCCCACCCAGUACGGCCUUUGGGGUCCACUCUGCUUCCACAUUCCAGUCCACUUGCAUUCCCUUCAGAAUAUCUGAGACAAAAAGAUAUAGUGACCUUGGGUGGGGGUGGGCCAGAGUCCCCCUCCCUUGAGAUCCUGGCUUGGGAUAAUAGGACUCCUUUGUAGGUCAUAGCCCCGCUGCUAUCCCCAUUGCCCCACUAUUCUGAAGCCACCAAGACCAGGCACUGAGCCUCCCCUGCUUCUGCCUCAGGCUGGCACAGGUAUGGAGGAGCUACAGACAUGGGUGGCCUUGGGUUGGAACCGGGCCAGAGACACAGCCUGCGGGGCAGCUGUAUAGGACCACAGCAAGAAUGACAGCACUGGGCAGAUGCCCAGAUUUGUCUCUGGGGUAGAGAUGCUCCGAGAGCCAGAGGGCACAGUUCCAGUACUAAGCCCCCAGUGCCACCCAAAAGCCAUACCAGCUUGCCCCCUUUUGAGAGUCGCCACCUAGCUCCUGCUUCUAUGAGCCCCUGACCCCCAGGUGUACAGGCACCCAGGCUGAAAGUUCAGAUCCUGCCCUGCUUCUCCCUGACUGUGGGAUGGUGGACAAGUCACUUCACUCCUGUUUCCUCCCCUGUACAAUAGCAAUAAUGAUGCCUUCUUCAGAAUUAAAUAGGAUCCUGUGCGUGUCUCACACUAGCUCUUCACACAGUAGGUGCUCAAUAUGUUUCUUCCCUCCUCUCUCAGCUGUGCCAUUGCUAGGGCAGCAGGGAUCAGACUGAGGCAUGAUUCCUUUGAAAGUGUGCCAAGCUCUGACCUUAGCCAUCUGAAGUUGUGCCUUCUUGUCCCCACCAGAUGGACUCCCCAAACCAGGGCUCAGUCCUGGUUCUGCCCCUGACUAGGCAUCAUUUUAUGUACCACUCACAUCCUGUGAGCCUUAUCUGCAAAACAGACACACUAAUACUCACAUUUAAUGAUUCAACAAAUGUACUCUUGUGUGUGCUGGGCCCUGGCGGCCCAGAAACAAAGAUAAACGAGACAGUGCCUGCCCUCCAGGACCUCCUAGUCUAGGUGGGCAGAUAGACACAAAAUCAGAGACUCAUGGACAGCAGUAAGAACACAAGCGAGGAGUGAUCUUGUUAACUAAGGUGGGUCAACAAUGGUUUCAGAGGAGGGGACAUCUGAGCCACACCUUGAAAGAUGACUAGGAGUUUGUCAGGCAAGCCACUGGGGGCAGAGUUUUUGUGUCAAAUUAAUGUUUUGUAAAUUGGGCUGCCUUUCCUUGCUAGGCUACUACCUGAGCCCAUCUUGCUCCCAUGGGAAACAAAGAAAUGCCCUAGAAACCCAUCCCUGGGCCUAGAGUUCUUGGAACAGGGGGCAGAGACGGGAAACGUUGGCCUGGGAUUUCCUUGAGCUGAAGUGCUGACUAGUUAAUCUCUGAGAGUUGGUAGCUAUGAACUUCUCUGACUUCACUCAUUCACUCAGAUUUCAGUGCCUAGCACCAUGCCUGACGCUUUGCUUCCAGACGGGCAAAGGGGGAUGAAGCAGAUACGGCCCUUCCUUUUGAGGUCUAAAGAGGACAAAUGAAUAAAUAAUCACAACACAGCAUAGCCAUACUAGCAGUAAUCCCACAGGGCGCCAGCUCAUCCUGAAGCCAUUAGCUCUUUUUGUUUGUUAAUUAUGCGACACAUUAAACAGAAAAAUGAGAAGACCCAACAAAAAAUUUAAAGUAAAAUCUCCCUUAGUUUCCCCACCCAGCUGGAUCACAUGAGCUUAAAACAAUACACAAAAAUACUAAAUACAAUGUGGUAUAUUGGAGUGGAUCCUGGAGCAGAAAAAAGAACUGGUAAAAACUGAAUAAAGCCAAAGUCUACUAACGUACCAAUGUCAAUCUCUUAGUUUUGACAAAUGUACCGCAGUUAUGUAAGGUGUUAACAUUGGGGGAAGCAAGGUGACAUGUAUGCUGAAACUCUGUAUUAUCUCUGGAAAUUUUCUGUAAACUUAAAAUUAUUCCGAAAUAAAAAGUUUACUUUAAAAAAAUGGAGCCAUUCUCUAUUGUUUUAUACCUGUUUAUUCACGCAAUAGUUUAUCAUGAAAUUCUUGUCUGGAAAUGAUUUAUUUGAUGACUGCAUACUAUUCCAUCCCAUGAAUGAAUCAUAGCCUAUCUCCUCCGUUGUUGGAAAUUUAGGUUGUUUCCAUUUUUUACCCUGUUAUAAAAAAUGCUAGACAUACUUAGUCAUUUCCUUAGGAUAUAUUAAUAAAGUGGAAUUGUUGAGCCAGAGCUGCCAGCAAGGGAACACGUACUGAGCACCACGGGACAUCACGGUUCUAAAGCUCUUGAUAUACACAAAUUUGUUUAAUUGUGCCAACUACACCAAAGCGGAGGUACUGCUCUCAUUCCUUUACUAUAGGGCAAUUUUCAAAGAUUUUCAAAGAUGAGACAACAAAUUCUCACCAAAGACUCUGUCAGCACCACCUCCCUUGUGUCCCAUGCGACCUGAAGCACACAGAUCAAUCCCAUCAUGCUCAUCUGCACUCCCUCCCAUUUGGGCUUCAAGGAGGGCAGUUUCUGCAGGUAGCCACUGGUCUGUGGAUUAAGAGCAGGUACCGCCAACCUAACACGUGGCUUUAGCAAACAUAUCAGUAAAAAGCAAACUGUUCUGGUUUGGUGCAGUAUUCCAAGGGAGAUGGGGGUGGCAUCGGGGAAUUGGAAUGAGUAAAGAUUCUGAAAUACCUGGUAGCCAUGGUAAGGUCCUUUUUUCCUUGGCAAAUGGCUAUGGGAAAGGAGGGGAAAAAAAGAUCAUUUAUUAGACAGCUAUUUUUCAAUUCAUACUGACUCUGCCACUCAUAGUUGGGUACUAUGAUCCUCAUUUUACAGAUGAGUUUAUUGAAGUUUAGAGGUUGUCUCCCUAUGGUACACAGUGAGCUACUGUCAGUGCUGAGACCUAACCAAAGGUCAGUCAUCCCCAGAACCCAUGCCAACAUCACUAGGCACAUGACUGAACACAGAGCUGACAAUAACAUUGAGAGAUUCCCUUCUCUUGAGUUCCACAGCAAAGGGUCACCCACUUCACGGUCAAAGCACUGAUGCGUGUGUUUCGGAGAGGAGGAAGGAUGGCACAUGAGCAGAGCUUAAAAUGGGCCAUCAGCUCUGUGUGUACAGCCCUUGUCUCCUCUUCUGGGUUCUUGACAUUACUCUUGAGCUGAAAAACUUCGCUUCUAUUGUUUCUAAACUUGGUUUGAAAAACACUUAUUUCCAAUUAGAUGCGGAUUUCCCAAGAACUCUAGGGGUUCACUAGGUUAAAGCAGCCCUGAGUGCUAGUGGCAUCUACCUUCCUUCGGGGGAUGUGUCCUCUGACUGGAAUGCCCCAUCCCCCCCAAAGAGCCACCCUGACCCCACCUCUUCCCCCACGCUACCCAAUUCUCAGCAGUCUGACCUCCUGUACCAUAUAAUUAGCCCUUUCUUUACACUCGGUUUCUUUUCCAAAAUAGACUCAAGGCUGUUUGCAAUACACAUCUGAACACAAAAACACUAAACACAAAUGACUGAGAUUGGGUGAGGUGGGGUGAGAAUUUAUUAAGAAACUCUGGCAGAGGGAAGUAUAGCAAUUGAACACAAGGGAAGUUUCCUCACAGCUAGGGCAAAAAGGAAAACAGUAGAAAAUGAAGCAUUUCUUAUCGAGUAGAAUGUAGACUAGCUAAAUAUUCCUAUCAUGAAGCUCAGAGAGAUAUGUCCCCAAAGUCUGUAUCUAAGGGACACCACACAAUGUAAUGAUUUGCUAUACAGCAAUCUUACCCAUAAGAACAGAUCUGUGUGGCCUGAGGGGUGAUCUACAUAGGGCCUGGGCCUAAGUCUUAUCUUACCUUCACCCUCUGACACUUUGUCUUUCUAUUCCUGUCAGUUCUCUGCUGAGGGCAUCCUGACUGGGAACCUAAAAGGAGCCUCCUGUGAGAGAUGCUCAGCACCACACUGCCUGGGACUCUGAACCGAACUGCCAUAUUCCCACGAUGGGAGGACAGAGUCCCUCUGGGGUUAAGAAUAAUGCAAUGCCAUAACACGUACGGUAGGGCCAGUAUACACACCUUCCUGUUGUCAACCUUCCCGAAAACAGACAAGGGGUUGGUGUGUAUGGGUGGGGGUAACUGACUCCUCUCUCCCGCAGUAACUUGACCCUCUGGCCCUUCUGGAAUAGGGGUGGUUCCAAGAUCUUUGCAAAUCUAGUACACUGGAGCUUUAGCACCCACAGCGAAGAAGAAAGACAAAAUAGAAAAAGGCCUUACCUGAGGUAGCAUUCCCCAAUCAGGUCCUUCAUUGUAACAGAGCAAAUCUACUGGAAUUUCUUCUUUCAUUCAGAUCCAUGGCUCAUAGAUUUCGCUGUAUCAUGAGUGCCUUGAGAAUCUUUCUCUUCUCCCAGCAAAGUGUCAAAGCAAUUGGCACAGUGGUAAGAGGCUGAGGUGUGGAGCCAGACAGGGUUCACUCUGGUUCUACCAUUCCCAGAAGUAUGCACCUCAAAAUGCACACACAUAACAUGGAGAUCAUAAUAGUACACACAUCCACAGGGUUAUUGAUAAUAAAUUAUAACAUAUGCAGAACCUACCACACAAUAAGCAUUAAACGUUAAAUUAUUAUGAAAAUUAAAAAUACAGAAUUCUGUACAUAAUUUCAGAGGUCCAUGGACUUCUAGGACAUCUUCAGGUUAAGAAUCCUUAGCCCGGUUCCUAAAAAUCAGGAAGACAAUAGGCUUUGCCAAUGUCUACAUUUUCAAUGUGAAUUCCAUCAGCAUAUACUGAACAUCAGCUGUGCACUGAUAUCCUGGCCUUCAUCAGUAGCUUGGUUACCAGAGUUGUCAGCACACUUCAGGGGCAGGGACCGUUUCCAUUCUACUGACGAGGUGCGAUGACUUUGCCCAAGGACUCAUGGUGGAGUUGCUGCUGAAAUCUGUCCUCCGACUCAUUUAGCUGCCUUCCUGAGAAGACUGGUGAGGCUUCUUGGGGACCGGUGCUGCUCUUCAUCCUGCUCUGUCUGCCUGUGACACUUUGUGCACAUGAGAGAUCCUAAGACACACACCUUGGGUCCUCAAACUGGCAGUGACUUCUUCAAAAUCAGUUCUGGCAGUGUGAGUGUCCAUGAAAAAGAACUCUCAUCCGGAGGGGCCCUGCCUGCUGUAGAGCUGCAAAAGUCACUAAAUCACUUCAGCAACAAAAUCAAGGCCACAGUUCGAGUUCUGACUCUGCCUCUCAUGUGUGACCUCAGGAAUUGUACUUUACCACUCUGAGUUUUGGUUUCCUCAGCUGUAAAAUAGAAGAACGAUAGUUCCAACCACCUACGGUGCUUCGUAGAGGUCAAGUGAGGUCAUGGGUAUUGUUCGCACAGUAACUGGCAUAUCAGUCCUCCAGGAACAGUAGCCGUUCUUAUCUUACUCAGUUUCAGUUUCCAGAUGAGGAAACCAAGGCCGAAGAAGUGUAAGAGUAACAGCUCAUUGGGUCUUCUUCAACCACACCACGAGGCCUUCCAGGCUAGUUUGACAAAUAUUUCCCCAUUUGUUGCAUGAUGGUCAAUGAGGGGAAGAAAAUUUUCAUAGGGUCUUUAAAUAGCUCAGGGAAUGAAAGGUCAGGAUGACACUUAAAAUGACUCUGUAGAGGUGGGGAAGUGAAGCAGAAGAGGGAGUUGGCUCAGGGAGAAUACAGCAGUGACAAUUCUGCUUCUCUCCAGAGUUAAGGGCCUGAAAGGAGAAGAAUGGUGGCACUUCUGGCCCGGCUCCCUCUGGUUUCAGGGAGAGCAGUUAUUUCCCAGAACCUCACUGGCAAAGGCAGCCCUUCCAAAGAGCAAGAGAGCUUUAGUUUGGACAAACAAUUUAAGCUCAUUUUUGCUGGGGAAGAAAGGAUUUAUAAAGAAGCAACUAAGGGUAUUAAAGAAGCAUCUGAAAAGGCAGCCAAAAAUCUGGCUUACGGAUUAGAAGCACUGGCUUUCUAGACUGUGGACGACUGUCUGCACAACAAUUAUCCAGCCCAGCAGGAAGCAGAUAUUUUUCUGUGUAUGUAUGGAUCCAAUUAACACUUAUCCCGUCGUGUGCCAGGCACUGAGCAAAAAGCUUCUCCUUACAAACUUCAUUUAAUACCAAUGAGUCUGAGAAGGCGACAUCGCCAGUCUUUCUUUCCAGACAAGAGCAAAGUAAAUGAUAUUUGUUGUACAUCCCCUGAACUCCGAGCACAGUGCUAUCUCCACUAAACCAAGCUGCCUUGUCCUUGGACUCAAGAAAAGCCUGCAUAUUAGCUGAAGGUCAAGAGGGUGCC